AUACACAGCUGUGACCAGAACAGACUUUUGCUGAAUGAGGGACACACAGUUCUGCAGCCACUGCCACAGCAAAAGGAAGAUGAUCAUUACUUGCUUUGCAGUUAAGGAAACAAAAAGAGAACCACCCAGCUGCUAGAAGUGUCUUGUACAGCAGGAAUAUGUGGAGAUGCAGGAGUGAAUUUGUUGCUGCAGUAAUGUGCCUUCAGAUGCAAAAUAGAAAUAGGGACAGAAGAGUUUUGACUAGAUAAUGUUAUUUUUUGUUUGGGUCAGCUCUGUACUGUCUUCACCACACAGCCAAUUGCACCCCCACAAAGAAAGGGAAGAAAAUCAGCAGAGAGGAAGGUACUUUGGAAGUCAUGCAAAGAAUAGAAUGAGGCUUUGUCCAAGCUGUUACCUGAUUUUAUGCGCAAGUUAUAAAAUGAACGAAGAAGAAACACCUGCUAUGGAAUUUGUUCAGCACAUGGAAUACAUGGCCG